AAGCGACGAGACAAUUUUUCCCGAGCCGUGCUAUCUUGACUAAAUGUUUUAUGUUGGAUUUGAGUAGGCAUAUCUCUGCUUUCCAUCCAUGGUGUGGAUAAAUCAAGGGCUUUCUGCAAUGAACUAUCUUUGAAUGUUUUGGAAUCCGAUGAUUCUUUUUUGGAUAAUCUAUAGCAAUUCUCAAGGUGCUGCUUACAAGGCCACAUUUCAAGAUGGGGGGAAUUGCUUUGGUGAAGGAAGUUAAUGCUUUUUUCUGGAGAUGAAAAUGCUUUUAAUAGGGAGCUGGAAGUAUUAGUGAGCUUGCAUCACUGUCAUUUACUCACACUUCGAGGUUUUUCCUCUGGACGCAAAAGGUUUGAUGUCUGGACUUCAUUACUUUUUUUCAUGUGGCUUUUUCAUGGCCUCCCCUUUUCUUGAAGAACAUGUUUGGAUAAAAUGCAGAAAUGGCUUACAAUAAGAAGUUACUUCGAGGACUGAAGAAGAGCAAAGUAUAUGGUAACUAUU